AGGAAUUUAGGUUAACCUAGACCAAGAGCCUUCAAAGCCCUAAGUAAGCUAAAUAUGCUUAAUUCCUG
rnacentral:tRNA from 1 species